rnacentral:misc_RNA from 1 species
AUAAAAAUAUUUGUCACUAUUUAUUUUGGUUUUAUUUGCUCUUGAAACUGAACACUUUUGGGCACCCUGCGCAAGUACAACUAGUGUUUUCAAUAUUUUUUAUUAACUAAAAGAAGUCCAUUUUGAAAUGUGUAGGAGUAUUAUUGUGAGUGGCGUCAUCGAGUGGUUAUCUCCCAAACAGUGACUCUAACUCAUGUGACAAGCGACUACGAACCGAAAUACGCUAGGUGUUUUGCGGCAUCUAUCUUGACGUGGCAGGGGAUGCGAGGCCUUUUCCACAUCAGCCAUUUUGUGUGUUAACUGUAUUGGUUUGCUCAGGUGAUUGCAUAAUAUACGAACUCAUAUAAAUAAAGUGAUCAAAGUCCAACACAUCCAUGGGAAAUAUAUUUGUCUCGCUUUUCAAAGAUCUGUUUGGGAAGAAGGAGAUGCGGAUUUUGAUGGUAGGACUUGAUGCUGCUGGAAAAACAACAAUUCUGUAUAAACUGAAGUUAGGAGACAUUGUUACCACAAUUCCUACCAUAGGUUUUAACGUAGAAACAGUGGAAUAUAAAAACAUCUGUUUUACUGUGUGGGACAUUGGAGGUCAAGACAAAAUCAGACCAUUGUGGCGUUACUACUUUCAAAAUACACAAGGACUUAUAUAUGUAGUGGACAGCAAUGACAGAGAAAGAGUUGGUGAAGCAAGAGAAGAACUGUUCCGAAUGUUGGGAGAAGAUGAGCUAAGAGAUGCUGUUUUGUUGAUCUUUGCUAACAAACAGGACUUGCCCAAUGCUAUGAAUGCAGCAGAAAUAACAGAUAAACUUGGACUUCAUUCUUUAAGGAACAGAAAUUGGUACAUCCAAGCUACGUGUGCAACUAGCGGGGACGGUCUGUACGAAGGCCUGGAUUGGCUAUCCAGCCAGUUGAGAAAUCAGAAAUAAUGGAUGUUGUUAUGAUCUAGUUAAAUAUUUACAUCAUUUGGUUGAUACGUCACCAGAAUACCCUCUUUCAUUUAUUUAUCUUUUUAAUUAUAAUUUCAAGAAAUCUGCUCUGAUGAGAUAGCAAGUCAUGUUUUUUAACUUUUUUUUUUUUUCUUAAAGUCACUUAAGUUUAACAAUCGGUUAUAUCACCAUUUUCCCUUCUAGUUAAUUAAGUGGUCUUUAGAAUAUCGGAAAUUGUAUUUUAUAAACUUUUGUGUUUUCUCUAUUAGUUCUGUUCGUUAUUUUUUAUUACCUUGCGUAAGUUACCGGAACAAAACUGUACAGAACUAGAAGAGGCUGGAGUAAUUGUUAAUUUUGUAAAUAUUGCUUCACUUUGUUUUUGUUUUUUCACCCCCCAUCUCCAUUUGUGAUUAUCUCAUUGCUGAGGGCCCAAAAUAGUUGAUUUACAAGCACAUUGUGAUUUUUAUAAAACAUUUGGAGCACAUAUUUGGGGAGGAAGCCUUUCACAGAAUGAAAGUGACAGGGGGAUAAGAAGCUUUGAACGAGAUCUUGAUAUUCCACCAGAUCAAGUUGAGGUGCAGUGUAGGCCUAAUUUGUUUUUCUGUAAUUUGAACAUAAAUAAAGUUUGUCCCUGUGAAUACUUGA